AGGCAUGGUGGUGCACACCUGUAGCCCCAGCUGCUCAGGACACUGAGGCAGGAGGAUGGCUUGAGCCCGGACAUUCUAGGCUAGGCUGGUCAACAUAGCAAGACCCUAUCUCAA
rnacentral:sRNA from 1 species